ensembl:lncRNA
UGCCACAAAACUGUCCAUGAGGAGCCUGAAACUAACCUUGAUAGUGCCACAAUACUUUCACAUACACUCCUUAAUGAGUCCAAAGAUCAGUUCUCACAAUCUGAAUUGAUUUGUGAACAUUCACAAAGCCAGGUAUCCCAAGUGGGUGGCUCAACUGAAACAAACCUCUACAAUGUGGUCAACGAGCUGGCAUCUGAUGAGUUGACUCUUGUUGAUCGGACCAUUUCAGUGACUGCAGUUGACAUAGUGGAGGCCAUAGUGGAAAAUAACAAACAAAAAGAUGAUUUCUAACAAUUGGAAGCUCAACAGAUUGAACUGGGUGUUUCUUCUGAAGAAGCCAAGAUCACAAACCCAGAACACGAUCCUAUCUCUCCUGGGCCUACAACAGCAAAUGACCAAUCAGAUGUUGACUAGGAGAGCACUCCAGUUGUAGAUACUUCAAACUAUCCUGGAAAUAGAAGAUAUCAGUUGUCCUUUGCAUGAGAUACGUUCAUGAAAUGGAGAAGGAAGCCACAUCCAACACCCUUAAGAACUGACCUGUGGUCCUCUGGAUUUCAUGAGCUUGUUUCUCAAUUUUGUAUUCCCCUUUUUAGGAAGGAUAAAUUGACAAAAAGACCAUAAUGAAGACUCCUGACAAAUCUGGAAAUCCUAAGCGAGCGUCCCCACCAAAAGAGCGACUGUCAAGGAGAGUGGAAUGCUAUCAAGCAGUCUUUUUCUGAAAUGUUAACAGAGAAAGAAAGUUUCCGCACAGGCCAGCGAAGAAUCUAGUGAGUUAACGUAAGAGGCAUGCGCUGCAGCACACGCUGAGUGCCUAAAGACAAUUUCCAUUCCCAGAAGUAUUUCAGCAGGGUGAAAUGGCAGCAUUUUUCUCAAUUAAAUGUUGAUAGAAAACAGCAGGACAAAAGUCUCUGUGUAUAAAUCACAGAGAUGCAACCCAACUCUAAAGGGAGCUAAGAGGCUAAUAUGGAAUAAACCAGAGGCCGUUUUCAAGGCUGUUAUUUUCGAUAACAUGACUUUCUUAGAAAAGUCAAAUGUUUGCAUCUGCUGCAUCAUGUUAACCUAUUGCUGAACAAGCUGUGAAUCACCUCUGCUCUGGCCUUCUCAUCUUACCUCACAUUGAGAGACGAGAAGAUAAUCCCAGCCUGCCCACUACUGUCAAAGGUCAGCACAGUUUAAAGUUCACCAUCCACAUCAUUUAUAUGGCCUUAAAUUAACCCAAAAGCAGAGUUUUGACUGUUCCUCUUUUUUUCAACCAGUUGUUAAUCUUCUCGUCAUACUUUCGAAUCCAGUGAGAAAUAGGAAUGCUCAGCGGACAGCAGUUCUGAUUGAAUUAUACCCCUCAAGGACCACCAUGGCAGGCCCAUACGCUUUUAAUUUUAAAAAGGUAAGAAGUGAUCACAUGGGUACACGGUACUCCCCAUACGUGGAGUAUGUCAUCCCCACCUAUAUAUCAGUUCAGCCGGCAAUGUGCACAUCUUAAAGGAUGAACCAUUUCGGCUGUGAUGGUUGGGGGGGCGAUCAGGAGCCCUAUCUUAACCCACAUGCCGUCCUGCAUUAGCUGUGUCCCUAUUGAGGUGUCAGCCCAUAAGUCUUACUCAGUGGGAUGUCACAGCCAGAUGAUGGAGAGCGCUUCUUCACUCCAGGGGAUCUUGUAAAACUUGCAUGCCCCUGGUCUCUACUCCCAGUCCGGCCUCCUCCUCGACACGGUCUCCCCUCAUGCUAAAUCAGAACUAGUGAAUGACACGUUGAGAUCCAUUAAGCAACAAACGUAUUUGGUUACUUGCUAUUAAAGGGUAUUGCAGGAGUCUUCCUGGUUGAAGUACUACACUCAGAAAACUCAUAAAAGUUAUGUGCUUGUAAAGUUUGUCAGUUUAAACUUCA